rnacentral:rRNA from 1 species
CUGUCGCUGACCUUUUCGGUCGUGCACGCCCAAGCGCUCUCACACAAUCCAUCUCACCCUUUGUGCACCACCGCGUGGGUCCCUCUCUGGCUUGUCCAGAAGGGGGCUUGCGUUUUAACACAAACUUGAAGUAGUGUAGAAUGUCUUUUUUUGCGAUAACACGCAAUCAAUACAACUUUCAACAACGGAUCUCUUGGCUCUCGCAUCGAUGAAGAACGCAGCGAAAUGCGAUACGUAAUGUGAAUUGCAGAAUUCAGUGAAUCAUCGAAUCUUUGAACGCACCUUGCGCCCCUUGGCAUUCCGAGGGGCACACCCGUUUGAGUGUCGUGAAAUUCUCAAAACCCUUUCUUUGGUCUUUUGACCGGGGAAAGGAUUUUGGACUUGGAGGCCUUUUGCUGGUUUCACCUUGAAGCGAGCUCCUCCCAAAUGAAUUAGUGGGGUCUGCUUUGCCGAUCCUUGGCGUGAUAAGUUGUUUCUACGUCUUGGGUCUUGGCACUGUACACCUGCUUCUAACCGUCUCAUUGACAACGAUGGUGUUCCGGUCACCGCCGAUUGACAUCGGUGGGAGGCUUGACCCACAAAAUGAACCUUGACCUCAAAUCGGGUGAGACUACCCGCUGAACUUA